GAUGAACGCUGGCGGCGUGCCUAAUACAUGCAAGUCGAGCGAACGGACGAGAAGCUUGCUUCUCUGAUGUUAGCGGCGGACGGGUGAGUAACACGUGGAUAACCUACCUAUAAGACUGGGAUAACUUCGGGAAACCGGAGCUAAUACCGGAUAAUAUUUUGAACCGCAUGGUUCAAAAGUGAAAGACGGUCUUGCUGCCACUUAUAGAUGGAUCCGGGCUGCAUUAGCUAGUUGGUAAGGUAACGGCUUAUCAAGGCAACGAUGCAUAGCCGACCUGAGAGGGUGAUAGGCGGCCUGGGAGCGGGGACGCGGUCAAGAGGACUAAGGGAGGCAGCAGUAGGGAACGUGCCGCAAUGGGCGAAAGCAUGACGGAGCAACGGCGCGUGAGUGAUGAAGGUGUUCGGAGCGUAAAAAUCUGUUAUUAGGGAAGAACAGAUGUGGAAGUAAAUGUGCACAGAGUGACGGUAACUAAUCAGAAAGCCACGGCUAACUACGUG
rnacentral:rRNA from 1 species